rnacentral:rRNA from 1 species
GACGAACGCUGGCGGCGUGCUUAACACAUGCAAGUCGAACGGAAGGGCCCGGCUUUUGGGGGGUGCUCGAGUGGCGAACGGGGGAGUAACACGUGAGUAACCUGCCCUUGACUUUGGGAUAACUUCAGGAAACUGGGGCAAAUACCGGAUAGGAGCUCCUGCUGCAUGGGGGGGGUGGGAAAGUUUCGGCGGUUGGGGAUGGACUCGCGGCUUAUCAGCUUGUUGGUGGGGUAGUGGCUUACCAAGGCUUGGACGGGUAGCCGGCCUGAGAGGGUGACCGGCCACAUUGGGACUGAGAUACGGCCCAGACUCCUACGGGAGGCAGCAGUGGGGAAUAUUGCACAAUGGGCGGAAGCCUGAUGCAGCAACGCCGCGUGCGGGAUGACGGCCUUCGGGUUGUAAACCGCUUUCGCCUGUGACGAAGCGUGAGUGACGGUAAUGGGUAAAGAAGCACCGGCUAACUACGUG